UACGAAGGGUGCAAGCGUUACUCGGAAUUACCGGGCGUAAAGCGUGCGUAGGUGGUUUGUUAAGUCUGAUGUGAAAGCCCUGGGCUCAACCUGGGAAUGGCAUUGGAAACUGGCGGACUCGAGUGCGGUAGAGGGGUGUGGAAUUCCCGGUGUAGCAGUGAAAUGCGUAGAGAUCGGGAGGAACACCAGUGGCGAAGGCGACACCCUGGACCAGCACUGACACUGAGGCACGAAAGCGUGGGGAGCAAACAGG
rnacentral:rRNA from 1 species